rnacentral:lncRNA from 1 species
AUUUUUUCCUGAGAUACAGUAUAUCCAUUUAGCUGCAUAUUUAGGCCUUUCUCAGCCUUCAUGUGUCUUGCUUCAUUCUUCAGGAACACAAGUUCUGUGUGAGUUGGAAAUCUUUUGUCUGGUUUUCAGGGCCUUGUUUGGUUGAAGGAAAUUAAUUAGAUGUUCCAUAAUCCCUUGCUGCUCCUGUGAUCCUUGGACCAGCAGCAUUGACUUCACUGGGCAGAGCAUAAAAAUUUACCAAUUUUCUUGGUGUGAACACUCCCACCAUGGCUGAUUUCAAGCUAACAACAUGAUGUCGCUGAACGUAGAAUUGGGAAGAGAUGUGAACAAUCUGUUCCUGUAUGCCUGUGCAAGCUACUCCAGCACACCACUGAGGAGAGAGAAGAUCGCCAGUAGUUGGAGACCAUCUGCAGAACUGGAGCAGUGCACGGGAAGCACGUUAUAAAUUUUACAUUCUUAUGUAGGAACGUAGACAGAAUCUUGAUGCUCCUACAAAGGUUCUGUUGGUCAUCGGACAGUCAGAGUGCUGGGCGCCUCUGUCACAGAGUGGAAAAGUGGGAGAAUAUACUGUCAACAAUCAGACCUCUGAUCAAAGGCAGAGAUAAUCUAGAGCUGAGAGGAGGAAAAAAGGACAUCACUAGGAUUUAAGCUCAUCUCUCUCAUAAUUGAACAGUGUAAACGGAAAGGAAAUUGAAGAUAUUUUAAAUUAUGCUUUUGCCAGCACUGAUUAUCCUUGACCACGAGGAAUCCAGAUGCCAGACUGAAACAUCAGUUUCUUGUCUUAAAGGAGUUGCAGCUGCCUGUUAAACUGAUCGUGGCUGUGCACAGAGGAGGCAGUUGGAGAUGGCAAGCAUCAUAUGCUCCAGUGUAUCAUCUGGACUGGAGAGGUGUCAGUGAAGGAAGACACACAUUUUACAUCCUCAUGUUGUACAAAAGAAGGGUAUUUUUUCAGGCCAGAAAAAUACAUACACAUGGAAGCCUGUGGCUCAGAAUGGAAAAUUUGGAAAAGAUCCUUUCUACAACCAGACCUCCUAUAAAAGGCUAAGAAUUUCAAGGAUGAGAGGAGGAACAGAGCAUUUCUAGGCUCUAAGCCCAUUUUCUUUCUUGGAAAUCAAUCCAGAUUGACACAGAUGAGGAUAUAUCUUAUGUGAGGAAGAGAAGAAAGAAGAAAGGAUCAUUCUAUCUCAGCCUGAAAACCUACAAAUCAAGCAUGCAACAGUUUUUAUUUAUUGGUGUAUGGAUGUGGAUUUCAGACAUAGACUUGAGUCAUUUUAGUCUAUUGCCAGCAGCGGAGGUGCCCGAAUGCUGGCGGACUCGGGGCCGUCCAAAGUAAGUGUCCCUCCCCUCAUUCUCCCUCUCUCUCUAUGGCAAGUAACUUAGCUAAUUGUGUAUUUUACUAAAUAGACCUAUCUCCCUCUCUACAGACUCUUGUUUAACUCGUCUCCCUGGCUUUUAAAGUGUAACUGAUUUGGGGGUAUGUGGAUUUCUGUCACCUACUUACUGCCACCUUCUC